AGUACCUGUGAAGAUGCAGGUUACCCGCGACAGGACGGAAAGACCCCGUGGAGCUUUACUGUAGCCUGAUAUUGAAAUUCGGCACAGCUUGUACAGGAUAGGUAGGAGCCUUUGAAACGUGAGCGCUAGCUUACGUGGAGGCGCUGGUGGGAUACUACCCUAGCUGUGUUGGCUUUCUAACCCGCACCACUUAUCGUGGUGGGAGACAGUGUCAGGCGGGCAGUUUGACUGGGGCGGUCGCCUCCUAAAGAGUAACGGAGGCGCUCAAAGGUUCCCUCAGAAUGGUUGGAAAUCAUUCGCAGAGUGUAAAGGCACAA
rnacentral:rRNA from 1 species